AACUUGCAUUCUUUUAUACAUUUUUUAUAUAUUUUUCCUUGUUAUAUUGUUUACAAUUAAUAGACUGAGGAAUACUAAGAAGGUUGAUGUCUAAAUUU